GACGAACGCUGGCGGCGUGCUUAACACAUGCAAGUCGAACGAUGAUGCCCAGCUUGCUGGGUGGAUUAGUGGCGAACGGGUGAGUAACACGUGAGUAACCUGCCCCUGACUCUGGGAUAAGCGUUGGAAACGACGUCUAAUACUGGAUAUGAUCACCGGCCGCAUGGUCUGGUGGUGGAAAGAUUUUUUGGUUGGGGAUGGACUCGCGGCCUAUCAGCUUGUUGGUGAGGUAAUGGCUCACCAAGGCGACGACGGGUAGCCGGCCUGAGAGGGUGACCGGCCACACUGGGACUGAGACACGGCCCAGACUCCUACGGGAGGCAGCAGUGGGGAAUAUUGCACAAUGGGCGAAAGCCUGAUGCAGCAACGCCGCGUGAGGGAUGACGGCCUUCGGGUUGUAAACCUCUUUUAGUAGGGAAGAAGCGAAAGUGACGGUACCUGCAGAAAAAGCACCGGCUAACUACGUGCCAGCAGCCGCGGUAAUACGUAGGGUGCAAGCGUUGUCCGGAAUUAUUGGGCGUAAAGAGCUCGUAGGCGGUUUGUCGCGUCUGCUGUGAAAUCCCGAGGCUCAACCUCGGGCUUGCAGUGGGUACGGGCAGACUAGAGUGCGGUAGGGGAGAUUGGAAUUCCUGGUGUAGCGGUGGAAUGCGCAGAUAUCAGGAGGAACACCGAUGGCGAAGGCAGAUCUCUGGGCCGUAACUGACGCUGAGGAGCGAAAGCGUGGGGAGCGAACAGGAUUAGAUACCCUGGUAGUCCACGCCGUAAACGUUGGGCGCUAGAUGUAGGGACCUUUCCACGGUUUCUGUGUCGUAGCUAACGCAUUAAGCGCCCCGCCUGGGGAGUACGGCCGCAAGGCUAAAACUCAAAGGAAUUGACGGGGGCCCGCACAAGCGGCGGAGCAUGCGGAUUAAUUCGAUGCAACGCGAAGAACCUUACCAAGGCUUGACAUACACCGGAAACGGCCAGAGAUGGUCGCCCCCUUGUGGUCGGUGUACAGGUGGUGCAUGGUUGUCGUCAGCUCGUGUCGUGAGAUGUUGGGUUAAGUCCCGCAACGAGCGCAACCCUCGUUCUAUGUUGCCAGCGCGUUAUGGCGGGGACUCAUAGGAGACUGCCGGGGUCAACUCGGAGGAAGGUGGGGAUGACGUCAAAUCAUCAUGCCCCUUAUGUCUUGGGCUUCACGCAUGCUACAAUGGCCGGUACAAAGGGCUGCGAUACCGUAAGGUGGAGCGAAUCCCAAAAAGCCGGUCUCAGUUCGGAUUGAGGUCUGCAACUCGACCUCAUGAAGUCGGAGUCGCUAGUAAUCGCAGAUCAGCAACGCUGCGGUGAAUACGUUCCCGGGCCU
rnacentral:rRNA from 1 species